GCAGUGAUAAAUGUGAUCUUUAGGAUCCUGGCAAAAGGGUACGCCAAUAGAAUGACCCUGCUCGCAGAUCAUAUUACCCACCCCAACCAAUCGGCCUUCAUCCAAGGUCGAUAUAUUCUGGAUGGGGUGCUAGUCCUUCAUGAAGUCCUCCAUGAGGUCCGCUCCAAACACCUCAAGGCGGUCUUUUUGAAGAUCGAUUUCCAUAAGGCCUAUGACACUGUUAGCUGGCCCUUCCUUCGGGAAGUUCUACCCCGGAAAGGUUUCGAUGACCGUUGGGUUACUAGGGUUAUGCAGAUGGUCUCUUGUGGUCGCACUGCCGUGAACAUCAAUGGGGAGAUUGGCCCUUACUUCCCCACUUUUUGCGGGGUGAGGCAAGGCGAUCCUUUCUCCCCGUUCUUGUUCAAUAUGGUGGUGGACGCGCUUGCAACCAUCCUGGAUAAGGCUAAGACUGCUGGCCAUAUUCGUGGGAUUAAACCCCCACUUGGCCGGCGGCUCCGACAUUUCCCUGGUCCAGUACGCCGACGACACCACUAUUAUGGUCGAAGGCUCUGUUACAGACAUCGCUAA
rnacentral:rRNA from 1 species